CUGGCUCAGGAUGAACGCUAGCGCCAGGCUUAACACAUCCAAGUCGAGGGGCAGCGGGGAGGAAGCUUGCUUUCUCCGCCGGCGACCGGCGCACGGGUGAGUAACACGUAUGCAACCUGCCCCUGUCAGGGGGACAACCCGCCGAAAGGCGGGCUAAACCCGCGUACAUGCCACCGGGGCAUCCCGGAGGCAGGAAAGGCUUCGGCCGGACAGGGAUGGGCAUGCGGCGCAUUAGGCAGUAGGCGGGGUAACGGCCCACCUAACCGACGAUGCGUAGGGGUUCUGAGAGGAAGGUCCCCCACACUGGUACUGAGACACGGACCAGACUCCUACGGGAGGCAGCAGUGAGGAAUAUUGGUCAAUGGUCGGGAGACUGAACCAGCCAAGCCGCGUGAGGGAGGAAGGUACAGAGUAUCGUAAACCUCUUUUGUCAGGGAACAAAGACUGGGACGCGUCCCCGGAUGAGUGUACCUGAAGAAAAAGCAUCGGCUAACUCCGUGCCAGCAGCCGCGGUAAUACGGAGGAUGCGAGCGUUAUCCGGAUUUAUUGGGUUUAAAGGGUGCGCAGGCGGUCUGUUAAGUCAGCGGUCAAAGCCCGGGGCUCAACCCCGGCCCGCCGUUGAAACUGGCAGUCUCGAGUUGGAGAGAAGUAUGCGGAAUGCGCGGUGUAGCGGUGAAAUGCAUAGAUAUCGCGCAGAACUCCGAUUGCGAAGGCAGCAUGCCGGCUCCACACUGACGCUGAGGCACGAAAGCGUGGGUAUCGAACAGGAUUAGAUACCCUGGUAGUCCACGCAGUAAACGAUGAAUGCUGGCUGUCCGGGGGGACUGACCCCUGGGUGGCGAAGCGAAAGCGAUAAGCAUUCCACCGGGGGAGUACGCCGGCAACGGUGAAACUCAAAGGAAUUGACGGGGGCCCGCACAAGCGGAGGAACAUGUGGUUUAAUUCGAUGAUACGCGAGGAACCUUACCCGGGCUCAAACGGGGAGUGACUCAGGCAGAGACGCCUGUUUCCCACGGGACACUCCCCGAGGUGCUGCAUGGUUGUCGUCAGCUCGUGCCGUGAGGUGUCGGCUUAAGUGCCAUAACGAGCGCAACCCCCGCGUGCAGUUGCUAACAGAUAACGCUGAGGACUCUGCACGGACUGCCGGCGCAGGCCGCGAGGAAGGCGGGGAUGACGUCAAAUCAGCACGGCCCUUACGUCCGGGGCGACACACGUGUUACAAUGGGUGGUACAGCGGGAAGCCAGGCGGCGACGCCGAGCGGAACCCGAAAUCCACUCUCAGUUCGGAUCGGAGUCUGCAACCCGACUCCGUGAAGCUGGAUUCGCUAGUAAUCGCGCAUCAGCCAUGGCGCGGUGAAUACGUUCCCGGGCCUUGUACACACCGCCCGUCAAGCCAUGGGAGCCGAGGGCGCUUGAAGUGCGUCGCCGCGAGGCGCGCCCUAGAGCGAAAUCGGUGACUGGGGCUAAGUCGUAACAAGG
rnacentral:rRNA from 1 species